rnacentral:rRNA from 1 species
ACUCUGGGAUAUUGCUGGGAAACUGGGUCUAAUACCGGAUAGGAGCGCCUACCGCAUGGUGGGUGUUGGAAAGAUUUAUCGGUUUUGGAUGGACUCGCGGCCUAUCAGCUUGUUGGUGAGGUAAUGGCUCACCAAGGCGACGACGGGUAGCCGGCCUGAGAGGGUGACCGGCCACACUGGGACUGAGACACGGCCCAGACUCCUACGGGAGGCAGCAGUGGGCCGUAUUGCACAAUGGGCGCAAGCCUGAUGCAGCGACGCCGCGUGAGGGAUGACGGCCUUCGGGUUGUAAACCUCUUUCAGUAGGGAAGAAGCGAAAGUGACGGUACCUGCAGAAGAAGCACCGGCUAACUACGUGCCAGCAGCCGCGGUAAUACGUAGGGUGCGAGCGUUAUCCGGAAUUAUUGGGCGUAAAGAGCUCGUAGGCGGUUUGUCACGUCUGUCGUGAAAGUCCGGGGCUUAACCCCGGAUCUGCGGUGGGUACGGGCAGACUAGAGUGCAGUAGGGGAGACUGGAAUUCCUGGUGUAGCGGUGGAAUGCGCAGAUAUCAGGAGGAACACCGAUGGCGAAGGCAGGUCUCUGGGCUGUAACUGACGCUGAGGAGCGAAAGCAUGGGGAGCGAACAGGAUUAGAUACCCUGGUAGUCCAUGCCGUAAACGUUGGGCACUAGGUGUGGGGACCAUUCCACGGUUUCCGCGCCGCAGCUAACGCAUUAAGUGCCCCGCCUGGGGAGUACGGCCGCAAGGCUAAAACUCAAAGGAAUUGACGGGGGCCCGCACAAGCGGCGGAGCAUGCGGAUUAAUUCGAUGCAACGCGAAGAACCUUACCAAGGCUUGACAUGUUCUCGAUCGCCGUAGAUAGUCUUGAUCCCCUUUGGGGCGGGUUCACAGGUGGUGCAUGGUUGUCGUCAGCUCGUGUCGUGAGAUGUUGGGUUAAGUCCCGCAACGAGCGCAACCCUCGUUCCAUGUUGCCAGCACGUAGUGGUGGGGACUCAUGGGAGACUGCCGGGGUCAACUCGGAGGAAGGUGAGGACGACGUCAAAUCAUCAUGCCCCUUAUGUCUUGGGCUUCACUUGAGCUACAAUGGCCGGUACAAUGGGUUGCGAUACUGUGAGGUGGAGCUAAUCCCAAAAAGCCGGUCUCAGUUCGGAUUGGGGUCUGCAACUCGACCCCAUGAAGUCGGAGUCGCUAGUAAUCGCAGAUCAGCAACGCUGCGGUGAAUACGUUCCCGGAUGCUGUACACAUCGACCCG